AGCCAGCCGACGAGUCCCAAAUAGGAUGAAAUGCGCCUAAUCCUGGAU
rnacentral:hammerhead_ribozyme from 1 species